rnacentral:rRNA from 1 species
CCUACGGGAGGCAGCAGUAGGGAAUAUUGGGCAAUGGGCGCAAGCCUGACCCAGCGACGCCGCGUGAGGGAUGAAGGUCUUCGGAUUGUAAACCUCUUUCAGUAGGGAAGAAGCGAAAGUGACGGUACCUAAAGAAGAAGCACCGGCUAACUAUGUG